AUAAUGGUUAUUCAUGACCAAGAAGGAAAGACCUGAGACAUGGAAUGAGCGAUUGCAGCCCUUCAGUAUGACACAGAUUCACAUCAAGAUAAAGAUGAUGUGCAAAGAAAACCCAUGCCCCCAAAGAGAUUACAGCCACUCCUCCAGACAGAUCCAGCAGGAAUAACCACAAAAGUCACCUUGGGGCCACUUAAUAGAACAGGUGGCUGCCGCCUGGUGACAAUGGCCGUAUGAGCCCCACCAUGGCCCACUGGAAGCGUCAGAGCACAGUGAGCAGCCUGCUGGACCACAGGGUGAGACCGGGCCUGGAGCCCAAGAGCAAGGACGUGGAGGAACUAGCCCUGGAAGAGUACAUGCCCACUGGACUGGAGCUAGUGGCCCUGUGGCCUGAGAGGCCGUUGCCUGCCCAGAAGGGCGGCCCUGAUGGGUACUUUGGCUCCAACUAGAGUAAACAACACCUCGGAGGAGGAGGACUAUGACGAGGGCUGCCUGAAGAGGAGGGCAUCACCUAUUACAUCCGCUACUGCCCCAAGGACAACAGCUACCUGCAGGGGAUGGACUGCAACAGGCAGGGCUACUUGGCCCACCUAGAGAUGCCAUCUGGAGAUGGAUGAGUGCCAGGAGGUGGUGGAGGAGUGGACAGAGCCAGGGCCAGCGACUCCCCAGAGGUCUGCCCACUUGCCAAGUCUGGCCGUGGCCCCAGCAGACACAAGGGCAGGCCCAAGUUGCUGAACCUCCCUCGAGGCCAAGCACCCUGCCGAUGCCCAGAGGAGCUUCAAGACCAGGACCCAGGAAGAGAGGCCUAAGUGGCCCCAAGAGGAGGACACUGGGCUGCACUCUGAGAAGUUCCUGGAUCUCCCCUGGACCUGACCAUCAUGUGGCCAGAGAAAUUGUCGACCGUCCCUCCUCAGCAGAGACCAGACCUGCCCCUCGUCUCCCAGCCCUGCGCCUGGUGUGUGUUUUGUCAACACUUCAGUGGAACAAGAAAGGACCAAGCCUGCAAGAACCAAGUUGACCAUCCCUCCUGAGCAGAGAGCAGACCUCCCCGUCCCUCCCAGCCCUGCGUCUGGUGUGUUUUCUCAACGCCUCAGUGGAACAAGAAAGGACUGAUCCUGCCAGAACCAAGGUAGUGUGUUCAACAUUAUCAUGACAGCUGUAAAAACAGUUAAUAUCACACAGAACCAAAGGGAAGAGAGGAGGACUUCUCUGGGACAAGCAUCGGGAGAGGAGACCAACCCCACACUUCUUUCUAUCAUCCUAGGAGAUUGCCAGAGAAGGCAGUGGCACCCCACUCUAGUACCCUUGCCUGGAAAAUCCCAUGGAUGGAGGAGUCUGGUGGGUGACAGUCCAUGGGGUCACUAAGAGUUGGACGCGACUGAGCGACUUAACUUUCACUUUUCACUUUAAUGCAUUGAAGAAGGAAAUGGCAACCCACUCCAGUGUUCUUGCCUGGAGAAUCCCAGGGACGGGGGAGCCUGGUGGGCUGCCGUCUAUGGGGUCGCACAGAGUCAGACACGACUGAAGUGACUUAGCAGUAGCAGUAGGAAAUCAUAGGAACCCACUCGUUUCCACCUUAGGGGCCCAGCAGAGACUUGGUGUCCUAACCGAGGGUCGUGUGACCCCAGGUGCAGGGUCUGGGGAGGUGGUAUCACCUUGGAGAGUGUGGAAGUGUGUCCCCAGGUGCAGGGUCUGGUGAUUGUGUCGGUCUCACCCCUUCCACGUGGGUCAGGAUCCUGUGUACACGGAGACCACAUGUCUGCUCUUCACCUGCUGUGUGUCCUGUCUCCUCAGAGAUUCCCAGCAUCUGAAUUGAGGGUGUUUCCCUGAUUAACCUGUGGUCCUUUUCCUUCUCUUCACCUUGUCGCAUUCACAUGAGGUCAGGCACCUUUGAGUGGGUUGCUGCUCUGUGUCUUGCUGAGUAAAAACCUUUGGAGGUGUCAUAUUAAUAUCAUAGCAUAUCACAUGCUAAUUAAUGGGGUCAUGAUUGUCUGGUUUCCCCUAGACCAAGCUCAGCU
rnacentral:lncRNA from 1 species